rnacentral:tRNA from 1 species
UCCCUUGUGGCUCAGCUGGUAAAGAAUCUGCCUGUAAUGCAGGAGACCUAGGUUCAAUUCCUGGGUUGGGAA